rnacentral:lncRNA from 1 species
CUUAAAGCCUCAGCUCAAUUGCCACAUUGCAGUUUAUUUAAAACUACUUCAUAGCACUGUGGUUAAUUUUACGUUCAUCUCUUCUCCUAGAUGGAGGGCAAGAGGAUUCUGUAGAACUAGAGGACACCAGAGCAGUCAGAGAGAAGAAUUAAAAAGAACUCUCUGGAGGAAGCAAGAACUGUUCUUGACCCCUAUUUACAGUUCAUUCUGUCCAAAUUGAAACAGAGGUGAGUAUAAAAUCAUAGCAAGGGGAGCUGG